UUUAAGAAACGUGGCUUAGUUUUUAUCUUUGGUUAUCUAGCUGUAUGAGUUGGUGUAAUAUCAUAAAGCUAGAGAACCGAAUGUAGAAACUGAUUCCGCUGCCAGCA
rnacentral:pre_miRNA from 1 species